UAGCCACAAGCAUGGUGCCUCCGUGGUCUGCACCACAGCUCCUUGCAGUUGAUUCACAUCCAGCAGGUGGGCAGCACCGCUUCAUCCCUGUCAGCUCAGAGAAUGCAACAGCAACAUGGACAUGAGCACCCUUGUGAUAUCCACGGAAGGAGCCAAGUUCCCCCAGCUCUUGAGCAGAACUCUUGGGGCCCUCCAGGCUAAAUUCAGGUCCAAAGUGCCUGGCAGAGUCUGACAUCUGCAUGCAUGUGUACAGCAUUACUGCCUGGUUCAAUCGUCAGGCUGGACCUGACAAAUUGGCGCCCGACCAGGGACCUGAGGACUUGGGAAGCAGACAGUGAGGAUCUCCUCCCGAUAAAGAGUGCACUCCUUAAGGGGAAAUGAUGAACAACAUAGACUGAUGAACAAGAACAGAACCAGAAGCAAGGAGGCAUCGAUCGGACUAUCGGGCCUCAGAGGGAGGAUAGGGGAGAUUGG